rnacentral:sRNA from 1 species
GAAAAGAGGAAACAAAAUGAAUGAAGUUCAUUUUAAUAAGUGUUUACGCUAAACAGCCACUGACAAAAGGGAGGGGCAUUAUAUAUU